GGUGAGUAACGCGUGGGAACGUGCCUUCUGGUUCGGAAUAACCCUGGGAAACUAGGGCUAAUACCGGAUACGCCCUUUUGGGGAAAGGUUUACUGCCGGAAGAUCGGCCCGCGUCUGAUUAGCUAGUUGGUGGGGUAACGGCCUACCAAGGCGACGAUCAGUAGCUGGUCUGAGAGGAUGAUCAGCCACACUGGGACUGAAACACGGCCCAGACUCCUACGGGAGGCAGCAGUGGGGAAUAUUGGACAAUGGGCGCAAGCCUGAUCCAGCCAUGCCGCGUGAGUGAUGAAGGCCUUAGGGUUGUAAAGCUCUUUUAUCCGGGACGAUAAUGACGGUACCGGAGGAAUAAGCCCCGGCUAACUUCGUGCCAGCAGCCGCGGUAAUACGAAGGGGGCUAGCGUUGCUCGGAAUCACUGGGCGUAAAGGGCGCGUAGGCGGCGUUUUAAGUCGGGGGUGAAAGCCUGUGGCUCAACCACAGAAUGGCCUUCGAUACUGGGACGCUUGAGUAUGGUAGAGGUUGGUGGAACUGCGAGUGUAGAGGUGAAAUUCGUAGAUAUUCGCAAGAACACCGGUGGCGAAGGCGGCCAACUGGACCAUUACUGACGCUGAAGCGCGAAAGCGUGGGGAGCAAACAGGAUUAGAUACCCUGGUAGUCCACGCCGUAAACGAU
rnacentral:rRNA from 1 species